rnacentral:piRNA from 1 species
UGCAUUGGCCACAGCAAAGCCCUGUCUGU